rnacentral:sRNA from 1 species
CUGAAGAAGCAUCUGUAGGGAAUCCAGAAGGAGCGUUCAUGAAGGUGUUACAAGCCCGGAAGCAGCACACGAGCACUAAGCUGACUAUUGAGUCGGAGGCGCCCUCAGACAGCAGUGGCAUCAAGUUGUCAGGCUUUGGGAGUGAUCAGUUUGAAAUUCAGCUAACCCAGGAGCUACGGUCCCUCAUCCCCAACGAGGAUGUGAGAAGGUUCAUGUCUCAUAUUAUCCGGACCUUGAAAAUGGAAUGUUCACAAAUGCAUGUGCAAGUGACCUGUGCCAAGCUCAUGUCGCGAACAGGACUCCUGAUGAAACUUCUCAGCGAGCAGCAGGAAGCAAAGCCAUCAAAGGCAGAGUGGGAUAUGGACCACCAGAAAUCUAAUUAUAUUAAUGAGAACAUGGAACAGAGUGAACAGAAACAGCAGAAGUCAAGUGAGCUCAUGAAAGAGGUUCCAGGAUAUGGCUAUAACAACAAACUCAUCUUGGCAAUAUCUGUGACUGUAAUACUAACAAUUUUGAUUAUAAUUUUUUGUCUUAUUGAGGUAAGGACAAUAAUUAAUUCAGGUUUUCAGAAUGCAAUCCUGUCUUUGUGUGGAUUCAGAACCC